rnacentral:misc_RNA from 1 species
GAAAUCUCCCGGCCACGCGAUAAAAACGCCCGCGGACGUGUAUCGUGUUGGCGGCUAUUGUUGUUGCAUUACCCCGUGAAUUGAUUUCCUUUCUUCUUUGUAUCCUUUUCUGGAUGUUCAUUUUUUAAGAGACGAGACUGGAAUAUGGAAUAUGGAUUCAGUAGAAGUGAAAUAUCUUUUGAAGACGCAUAGAGAAUAAUUUGUGCUUGAGAAAUAUGGUUUAUAAGUGGCAUAUAUAGUUCGUGGAAUUUUAAGUUGAGUAGUAAGUCGAUCUCCUUUUUCUUCGUUCCAUUUUCCAGGGAUGAGACUGAAAUACGGUUGUACAGCGACGUAUUCACGUGGGCGCGUGAGCUCGCUCUCCUACUAGCGCGUGUGGCGUGGGUUCAGCGUGCGUGUGUCACGCGCGUGUGCGUGCCCGGUCGAGCGUGUGGAAGAGCAGACGUCGAGCUCGAGGGAGCGUGGAGUGCCGUGGAACAGCGGCGAACGAAGGUGGAGGAGUAGGUUGAGAGACGAACGAAGAGGAAGAGGAGAGGCUUGGCACUCGCGACCGAGAAUACAUAGGAGAG